rnacentral:rRNA from 1 species
CGUACAAGCAGUGGGAGCCCUUCGGGGUGACUGCGUACCUUUUGUAUAAUGGGUCAACGACUUAGUGUAGCAAGCAAGCUUAAGCCGAUAGGUGUAGGCGUAGCGAAAGCGAGUCUUAAUAGGGCGAAUAGUUUGUUGCAUUAGACCCGAAACCAAGUGAUCUAGCCAUGAGCAGGUUGAAGGUUGAGUAACAUCAACUGGAGGACCGAACCCACUGACGUUGAAAA